rnacentral:rRNA from 1 species
GUCUCUUCGGAGAUAGUGGCGGACGGGUGAGUAACGCGUAAGAAUCUACCUACAGACUCGGGACAACAGUUGGAAACGACUGCUAAUACCGGAUAUGCCCUCGGGUGAAAGAUUUAUCAUCUGUAGAUGAGCUUGCGUCCGAUUAGCUAGAUGGAGUGGUAAAGGCACACCAUGGCGACGAUCGGUAACUGGUCUGAGAGGAUGACCAGUCACACUGGGACUGAGACACGGCCCAGACUCCUACGGGAGGCAGCAGUGGGGAAUUUUCCGCAAUGGGCGAAAGCCUGACGGAGCAAUACCGCGUGAGGGAAGAAGGUCUGUGGAUUGUAAACCUCUUUUGUUAGGGAAGAUAAUGACGGUACCUAACGAAUAAGCAUCGGCUAACUCCGUGCUAGCAGCCGCGGUAAGACGGAGGAUGCAAGCGUUAUCCGGAAUUAUUGGGCGUAAAGCGUAUGUAGGCGGUUUUAUAAGUCUGUUGUCAAAGCCCGAGGCUUAACCUUGGAAAGGCAAUGGAAACUGUAAGACUAGAGAGAGAUAGGGGCAGGAGGAAUUCCAGGUGUAGCGGUGAAAUGCGUAGAUAUCUGGAAGAACACCAGUGGCGAAAGCGUCCUGCUGGAUCUCAACUGACGCUGAAGUACNNNNCUAGGGGAGCGAAUGGGAUUAGAUACCCCAGUAGUCCUAGCCGUAAACGAUGGGUACUANGUGUUGGCCGUAUCGACCCGGUCAGUGCCGUANCUAACGCGUUAAGUACCCCGCCUGGGGAGUACGGUCGCAAGANUGAAACUCAAAGGAAUUGACGGGGGCCCGCACAAGCGGNGGNNUAUGUGGUUUAAUUCGAUGCNACGCGAAGAANC